GAUGAACGCUGGCGGCGUGCCUAAUACAUGCAAGUCGAGCGAACAGAUGAGGAGCUUGCUCCUCUGACGUUAGCGGCGGACGGGUGAGUAACACGUGGAUAACCUACCUAUAAGACUGGGAUAACUUCGGGAAAACGGAGCUAAUACCGGAUAAUAUAUUGAACCGCAUGGUUCAAUAGUGAAAGACGGUUUUGCUGUCACUUAUAGAUGGAUCCGCGCCGCAUUAGCUAGUUGGUAAGGUAACGGCUUACCAAGGCAACGAUGCGUAGCCGACCUGAGAGGGUGAUCGGCCACACUGGAACUGAGACACGGUCCAGACUCCUACGGGAGGCAGCAGUAGGGAAUCUUCCGCAAUGGGCGAAAGCCUGACGGAGCAACGCCGCGUGAGUGAUGAAGGUCUUCGGAUCGUAAAACUCUGUUAUUAGGGAAGAACAAAUGUGUAAGUAACUAUGCACGUCUUGACGGUACCUAAUCAGAAAGCCACGGCUAACUACGUG
rnacentral:rRNA from 1 species